AGUGAACGCUGGCGGUAGGCCUAACACAUGCAAGUCGAACGGCAGCACAGUAAGAGCUUGCUCUUACGGGUGGCGAGUGGCGGACGGGUGAGGAAUACAUCGGAAUCUACUUUUUCGUGGGGGAUAACGUAGGGAAACUUACGCUAAUACCGCAUACGACCUACGGGUGAAAGCAGGGGAUCUUCGGACCUUGCGCGAUUGAAUGAGCCGAUGUCGGAUUAGCUAGUUGGCGGGGUAAAGGCCCACCAAGGCGACGAUCCGUAGCUGGUCUGAGAGGAUGAUAGGCCACACUGGAGCUGAGACACGGUCCAGACUACUACGGGAGGCAGCAGUGGGGAAUAUUAGACAAUGGGCGCAAGCCUGAUCCAGCCAUACCGCGUGGGUGAAGAAGGCCUUCGGGUUGUAAAGCCCUUUUGUUGGGAAAGAAAAGCAGCAGGUUAAUACCCCGCUGUUCUGACGGUACCCAAAGAAUAAGCACCGGCUAACUUCGUG
rnacentral:rRNA from 1 species